rnacentral:rRNA from 1 species
UACGAGAGCCUCGAGCGUUAUCCGAAAUUAUUGGGCGUAAAGGGUGAGUAGGUGGCGUUGUUAGUCGAGUGUUAAAUCUCCGGGCUUAACCUGGAAAUCGCAUUCGAAACGGCAAUGCUUGAGAGGAGAAGAGGUGUGUGGAACUCUAGGUGUAGGGGUGAAAUCCGUUGAUAUCUAGGGGAACACCAAAAGCGAAGGCAGCACACUGGUCUCUAUCUGACACUGAAUCACGAAAGCGUGGGUAGCGAAUGGG